CCCAGGCUCCGGCCCCGCCGGGGACGCGUCCCUGACAGGGUCCCGGGCUGCCUGACAGGAACCAGACCUGCCCGAGGGCCGAGGGCACACAGCGCCGCGUUCCUCUCCUCGCCGCCGGAGACCCCGUCCCGCCGUGCGGAGGCCCCGUGACGGGCCGCCUCGGGACAGCGAGCAGGCGGCGGGAAGCGCACCCUCCCCGAGGGCGCCGGGCCCUGCGCUGAUAACCGGUCGCUGCUGGCCUGAAGGACCUGGCUACCCCGUGCCGGGCUCGGCCUCUGCAGCCCCUGACCGCCUUCCGGGUUCGCUCUCAGCCCGGCGAACGGCGACGGGAACCGACACGACCCCCUCGAGCAACAAGGACUCGCAGGGCCGACCCCGAAACACGGACGGAUUGGACCGCCACUGCCCACAUGCAGAAAACAGAAAUAUGAAGAGUGAAGUCCACUUACCUGGAUUAAUUUCAUAGCAAUGAGGCGGAAUCCCUUUUGCUCGAAACGCUUGAUGAUCUCUCCCACAAGGCUGCGCUGGACUCCAUCAGGCUUGAUGGCAAUGAAGGUGCGUUCACUGUUGGCCAUGGUCCUGAGGAUAAACAGCUGGGAGGAUGAAACGGCACGGAAUAUCCUGCCUACAUCAUUAUCCAUCGCAAGCCGAUUACCCCAUAAAGCUGGUUUAAAUCUGUCAUGCCAACUCCAAGUCUCUCAGAGAAGACUGGGCUCAAGACUUGCUCUGCCUUCACAAGAAGGGAAGGAGGAGGCCCCUGACCUUGAAGGUCAAUCCCUAAUGAGGACAGCCACACCACCUCCUGGCUCUAUCUUCCUGUAGGUUAGUUAACCUCUUAUUAUGACAGCUUAAUAUAUUUUAAUUUCUGGAAGGCCUGGGUGGUUCAGUGGUUGAGCCUUUAGCUCAGGUCUUGUUUCCGGGGUCCUGAGAUCAGAGUCCCCAAUCGGGCUCCCCACAAGGAGCCUGCUUCUCCC